rnacentral:rRNA from 1 species
UUUCGCAAUGCCCGAAAGGGUGACGAAGCGACGCCGCGUGCGGGAAGAAGGCCUUCGGGUUGUAAACCGCUGUCGGGAGUUAAGAAAUGUAAGAGUGUUAAUAGCGCUCUUACUUGACUAAGGCUCCGGAGGAAGCCACGGCUAACUCUGUGCCAGCAGCCGCGGUAAUACAGAGGCGGCAAGCGUUGUUCGGAAUUAUUGGGCGUAAAGAGCACGUAGGCGGCUUUGUGAGUCAGUUGUGAAAGCCUUCUGCUCAACGGAAGAACAACAUCUGAUACUGCAAGGCUAGAGUGCGGAAGGGGAGAGUGGAACUUCUGGUGGAGCGGUGAAAUGCGUAGAUAUCAGAAGGAACACCGGCGGCGAAGGCGACUCUCUGGUCCGUAACUGACGCUGAGUGUGCGAAAGCUAGGGGAGCAAACGGGAUUAGAUACCCCGGUAGUCCUAGCCGUAAACGAUGGGCACUAAGUAGAGGGGUUUU